GACUAGAGUGAUGUAGGGGAGACUGGAAUUCCUGGUGUAGCGGUGAAAUGCGCAGAUAUCAGGAGGAACACCGAUGGCGAAGGCAGGUCUCUGGGCAUUAACUGACGCUGAGGAGCGAAAGCAUGGGGAGCGAACAGGAUUAGAUACCCUGGUAGUCCAUGCCGUAAACGUUGGGCACUAGGUGUGGGGGACAUUCCACGUUUUCCGCGCCGUAGCUAACGCAUUAAGUGCCCCGCCUGGGGAGUACGGCCGCAAGGCUAAAACUCAAAGGAAUUGACGGGGGCCCGCACAAGCGGCGGAGCAUGCGGAUUAAUUCGAUGCAACGCGAAGAACCUUACCAAGGCUUGACAUGUGCUAGAUCGCCAUAGAAAUAUGGUUUCCCCUUUUGGGGCUGGUUCACAGGUGGUGCAUGGUUGUCGUCAGCUCGUGUCGUGAGAUGUUGGGUUAAGUCCCGCAACGAGCGCAACCCUCGUUCUAUGUUGCCAGCACGUGAUGGUGGGAACUCAUGGGAGACUGCCGGGGUCAACUCGGAGGAAGGUGGGGAUGACGUCAAAUCAUCAUGCCCCUUAUGUCUUGGGCUUCACGCAUGCUACAAUGGCUGGUACAAUGGGCUGCAAUACCGCGAGGUGGAGCGAAUCCCAAAAAGCCAGUCUCAGUUCGGAUUGGGGUCUGCAACUCGACCCCAUGAAGUCGGAGUCGCUAGUAAUCGCAGAUCAGCAACGCUGCGGUGAAUACGUUCCCGGGCCUUGUACACACCGCCCGUCAAGUCAUGAAAGUCGGUAACACCCGAAGCCGGUGGCCUAACCUUUUG
rnacentral:rRNA from 1 species